UUACAGGAGACAGAGUGCAAAUUCACCACUUGCAUGUACUGACAGUCGAAAAACAGGCUGGCAUUUGCAUAGGGUGAAGUUUUCUUCUAGCUUAGAAGGCACCACACUCCUUUUUGCCACGUGUUAUGUUGGUGAUUGGAUAGUUCCAGGGGCUGAUGAGGAGAUAUAAAAUCAAGGUGAACUCAGUGACCAUUUCAAAUCUAAUCCAAAAAUCUUUGCUCCUGAAACCUUUCCUACUCAAGAGGCCCAAGUCCUAAAAACUGCCCGGAAUGGUGUCUUGUCUUGGAAUUAUUUCUGUUGGCUGAGUCACCCUGCACCUUAUUGCUCAGAGGAGUGCAGCCCUGUGGAGGAAGAGUAAUUGCUUGGGGUUUGGGCAAGUCCAUCAGCUUCCUACAGGAGGAAUUGUAUGGGGAAGAUCUAGCAGGAUGUAUUUGCUGAACUUCCUCAAUCUUGUGAUUAAACUCAUGAACUAAGAAACUAAACAAUGACUUGCAACAAUCUGAGGUUGCUUGAUUUGAAGAGCUCUUACCAGCAGCCACCUUAGGAGAUGGAGAAAGCUGCAGUCCAUCUUGUUUUAGGAGUUAUUCUAUCACUGCAGAAAAAAAACCCUAGAGCCUGUAAAUAAGAUUUCAGCUGUCAAAAGUUUUGUUCUGAGUUCUUUGUGAGGAUGUAGAAAAGCUGCCUGCCUGGCUUUCUGUACUGAACUCCCACUGUCAUUUUCCUUUGCCUGCCACGUCUUCCUGCUCCAUUGGAAGCUUCUAGCUUUUGAGAGGGUGCGACUUCUAAAGUUCAGGUAAACUGCUGCAAGUACACUGCUUUCAAUAUGCCUUUGCUGAGACCAUGAAGGAGGAAGUAAAUUGCCCUAGCAACUGAUGUUUAGCAGGUCUCAUUUCAGCAAAGUUGACGGGAGACUUCCCAUUGGCUUGAUAAGAAAAGGAACAGUACAUGAGGAUCAAUGCAAGCAGUGUAAUUCUGUCAUAUGCAAAGGAAAAAAUAGAGUAACACCAGCUAGGAAUGGGAUUCUGAAUGAUAUGUGUCAAAUAUAAAACAUAUUUGUAACAAGUAAAGGUUACUUCAGAGGGACUUAAAUAAGAUUGACUCCUGAAGACAAUCUUGGUGUUGACUUUGGUCACAACAACCCCAUGCAGAGCUCCAGGCUUGGGAAAUAUGGCUGGAAAGCUGCCCAGCAGAAAAGGGCCUGAGUCUGCUGGUCAUCAGUGACUGAACAAGAGCCACCAGUGUGCCUAUGGGGCCAAGAGGGCCAACAGCAUCGUGGCUAUUAUUAGAAAUGAUGUGGCCAGCAGGAGUAGGGAACUGAUCAUGCCCCUCAUGCUGAUGAGGCCAGACUUUGAAUUGUGGGUUCGGUUUUGGGCCCCUCAGCACAAGAAGGACAUGGAGAUGCUGGAGUGUGUCCAGAGAAGGGGAAUGAAGCUGAGGAAGGAUCUGGAGAACAAGGAUUAUGAGGAGUGCCUGAGGGAACUGGGUUUGUUUAGCCUGGAGAAGAUAAGGCUGAAGGGUGACCUUAUUGCUCUCUACAACUACCUCAAAGGAAGUUGUAGCGAGGUCGGGGUUGGUCUGUUCUCCGAAGUAACAAGUGAUAGGAUGAGAGGAAAUGGCCUCAAGUUGCACUAGGAGAGGUUUAGAUUGAAUAUUAGGAAAAAUUUCUUGGCUGAAGAGUGGUGAAGCAUUAGAAGAAGCUGCCCGGGGAAGUGGUGGAGGCGUUCAGAAAAUGUGUAGACCUGGCAAUUUGUGACAUGGUUUAGUAGGCACGGUGGUGUUGGCUGAUGGUUGGACUCUAGGAUCUUGGAGGUCUUUUCCAACCUCAAUCAUUCUAUGAAAAAAAAAAUCUAUGAAGCCAUUUCUCACAAGGGCUCUGCAAAAUAUCCACAAUGCCAUUUGCAGCUGUUCUCAGUGUGAAGCCUGGGCUCAGGCUUCAGUAUGCAUUUCCCAGGAGGCACCAGUGACUGCGGAGAAGGUUUUGCCCUGGAAUCAGGAGAACCUUAAAGUUUUCACCUCGAGCUUUUCUAUUUUAGAAUGAGUUGAUGUUGACUUGCACCUGAUAUCUAUAAGCAAAAAUCAAGGUAAUCCUCUCAAGUGAAAAAUGUGAUCACCAACCACAUGCAAACAGCAUCAAUGCUGCAUUACAAGCAGAAUGGCAAACUAGCUGAGGCAGUGUUUCUGGUGCUACUACAGAGCACUCAUGACUGUAGUUGGCAUUGGCCCCCUGGAAGCUGUGGUUUGAGGAUGGGAGUCAUUCAGCUUUUCCCUAGGUCUUUCCAAGGCAGAAACAGCAAAGACAAGCAGGAGUCUGGCUGCUUUUCUGUUAAGUAAAUGCCUAAUGAGGUUGUGUUUUCUUGCAAAGGAACCAAGCAUGACCUAAUUAAAGGUGAUAGGGUGGCACAGAGUUCUGUGAUUUUUGCUCUCUCACAAGCUGGUCUUUUGAAACUCAAGGUUUCAGCUCAGACCCACUGUUCAGAAAGGUAUUUGAAAGCAAGGCAGAGUGAAAAAAUGUUCUCGUUAACUCACCUGUGUCAUGAGUGACUGUUUUCUCUGUUAAAGAUGAUGAAAUUGUUAACCCCAACAGCUCCCUGCCCUUCAUUUAGGGAUUAGUGACUUCAUCAACACAAGCAGAACAAACACAGAGUGCUGAACUUAGAACCUGGCAACUUCAAAGCCUCCCAGUCCAAGAUGAGAAAGCACGGAAUCACUGACAGCAGUGACACUAUUUGAGCCUUUUGACAAAUGAAGGGGCCUAUGAGCGAAUGAUAAAGGCGUGAGAGCCAGUCAGCCAAGCCCAUCCCGGGAGUAAACCCGGUAUUCUUCCUGUUCAUAGAAUGGAAAAGGGGCAAACAAGAAAAAUCCUUGGUAGCAAAUGUGCUCAGAUGAAGCAAACAGUAAAGUCUCUCCUGCAACUGCAGUUCAUCAAGCAAUUAGUUUCUUAACAGCCUUCAGACAGUCUCUUCUCUGGCGCAGUGCCACACCAGCCAAAUAAAUCUGCUCUAAACAUACAACUGUCCAUCCGAACUGCAACUCCAGACCCAUGAAGCUAAGCUGAAAGGCUCAACGGAAAGGGAGAAGGAAGAGAGGCCUGAACAGGAAGGUGGAAAGAGGGCAAUGAGGAAAGGAAGAUGUAGCCAAACAGCACUGGACAAAUAUUCCGAGGUAUCCAAGGCCACCCUACAGAACAGAACGGCUCGCCAAAGGCAGUCUGUAAGCAAAGGCACUCAUAUCUCUAGCCCUGUCAUUGAGGUUAAAAGGGAUCAUUGA